rnacentral:lncRNA from 12 species
AUCGUUGGCAAGCAUUUAUAUAUUCCAUCUUGCAUAUGGAACACUGUAAUUGGAGAUGUGAGAGGAAGCACAUUUGGUAUGAAAACUGUCUGGCCAUCAAGCAUCAAGCUGUCUGACCCAAGGCAGGCUUGGGUUUGAACGCUGGUUCCUCUGUUUUUUAGAGGUUUGACCUUGGGCAAAUUACACUCCCUCUGAGCUCUGCUCUCCUCGUGUCUCACAUGUGGAAAAUAACACCUCCUUCCUGUGACAGUGCUGUGGGGCCGGAUGAGAUAACACGAGAGCAGAGUGCUUGGCACAGGGGGAGGUUCGGUGGUGGUGGCUCUUAUUAGCAGCCCAGAUCCACGCUUUGGAAAUACUGAACACAUGCAUGGAAAACCCAACCCAAACUGAUGGAUCAGCAGCUGAUUAUAACCUUAAUGUAUCCCACUUCACGUGCCUAUUCAUGUUUUAUUGAACAACUAUGAAUGUGUUUGGUUAUGGGUGCUACCCUAGGACCUCUAUUAUCUUUCUAAGAUCUGGAAAGUUCUGAAUUCUGAAACACAUUCAACUCCACAGUUUUCAGAUAAAGGAUAAACAAUCUGCAGUCUUCACAAUGUGCCAACAGGUGGAGAAUGACACAAUCCAACCGGAACACAAAACCGUUUGACUGCUGGAAGGGCUGUGCAAUCCUGGGAGGAGGAGUGAUCGCCUCUAGGAAGAUGCACCUGGGGACAAGGAAAAGAGUCUCUGGCUGGGCGAAGUCAGGACAUGCACAUUCUGAUGAAGCACCGUCAGGGUUUUUAGUCACUGAGGGCUGAAUGGCAGGGUGCUGACUGCCUGGAGGAAGAAAAGGCUCUAAGUGAACCUACAGAAGGAAUAAAUGAAUUUUAAAACUUCA